rnacentral:lncRNA from 1 species
UAGAAACCCUCUGCCACAAACUGAUACAAAUAUUUUGGUAUGCACUCUCGCUUCUUUGUGAAGAGGUAAGAACCCAGCGAAGAAAAAUAAAAUUAAAGAUUACACAAGAUUCACAUUCGAUGAUCUAUUCGUCUGAUAUAAGCCAGGUUUGGUUUCAAAGAAGUUCUCGACUUCACAUUAGAAUGUCAGGCUCAUAUCAAAAUUGCUUAUUCAAAAAACAAAGUACACAAGUCACAUAACCUGAUAUAAGCCAGGUUUGAUGUUGCAAAUCUUUGCAAAAAAACAGUAUCCCAAUAAUUCUUCAUAUGUGCCUAUCAUAUCUUCCAUUCUGUAGCAUCCUUCCAAAUACAGGUGUAACUAACAACAGCAUCAGCAAGAACAAGAAAACCAAGGAGCAGAGCAUGGCAUGGCAUUCAGGGUAAACCUCGUAGCAGAAGUAGUCACUCACAGGUUGUUUGGGAGUAGACCGACAAACGGCCACCCACACUAUACAAGAAUGGUGCUCCUAGCCGAGUUCCCGACGAAGGCGCGCCGGAAGCGCCACAACAUGAGCGCCUUGUACCUCCG